rnacentral:lncRNA from 1 species
GGACGGAGAGGGUCCCGUGCCAGCCACACAGCUCUGCCGUUCUCCUCCCGCAUAUCUGCGGUUCGCUGUGCUGUUUCUUUCAUUACCUGUGGUACCUACUCCAUCUUCAUCUUCCUCUCCCAUCGCCUGAGCUCCUGAGGGGAAGUGAUAUUUGAGUUUAGUGUGGGGUAGGGCCUGAGCAGACCUAGAAGCUAACCCUGGGUCACACUCACCCCUGAAACUUUGUGUCUUCUCAACACUCAUGGCUCCUCUAACCAAUUCCAGCUGCUUCUCAUCUUUGGACAAGGGUGGCCCUCAAAGUGUGGUCCCCAGACCAUUAGCUUCAGUGUCACCCGGGAACAGGUUAGAAAUGCACAUUCCCAGGUACCACCCCAGAAGUACUGAAUCGUAAACUGGGGGAUGGGGGGGUGACCUGUGAUUUAACAGUCCUCCAGGUUGUUGUGAUUCAUGGAAGUUUGAGAAUCCCCAGACCUGAGCUGUUGAGCUCAACCCUGAAAGUAUUCCAGCCCAGGAGCAGGUCUUCUCCAAUCCCGUGUUCAUUCUUUCCUUGAGCUUCUCUCUAGUCCUAAGAAAGACAUUAAUUCCAUGGCCAAAAAAAAUGAAUUAUAGUCAAGUCAUUCAAUAUCUCUUUAUUGAAUAUCUGUUGUACUGAGUCUGGAAAAACACCAAAACGAGUAAGACAGCCCUUGUCCUCAAUGAGUUAAAUGUGGAGCGGGCAGAGAGACACGUAAACAACUAACCGUAAUGCGAUGUGAUAAGUACAAUACUAGCUGCAUGCCGAAGUGCCCUGGAAGCACAGAGGAGGGAAUGAUCAACUCUGAGGGAGGGAAAUAAUUCAUCAGGAGCAGGAUGUGGUGAGAGGAAGAAUUAGGAUACAAGGCAGCCUGUAGCCCAGGGUAUAGGAUUUCUAGCUUAACAUGUCAGCUGAAAGAGAGGAAAACUGCCCUGGAGGAUCGGCACGGUGAGCCUAGUCUGCCUCCAGCAGCGCCUGGAGUACAUUCCAGCAGGACCCCAAGCCUGCAGCCGGCGGGGGUUGGCAUUCUUCUAGCACUAACAGUGUAAG